UACGUAGGGCGCGAGCGUUGUCCGGAAUUAUUGGGCGUAAAGAGCUCGUAGGUGGUUUGUCGCGUCCGCUGUGAAAACCCGAGGCUCAACCUCGGGCCUGCAGUGGGUACGGGCAGACUAGAGUGCGGUAGGGGAGACUGGAAUUCCUGGUGUAGCGGUGGAAUGCGCAGAUAUCAGGAGGAACACCGAUGGCGAAGGCAGGUCUCUGGGCCGCAACUGACACUGAGGAGCGAAAGCUAGGGGAGCGAACGGG
rnacentral:rRNA from 1 species